rnacentral:rRNA from 1 species
AGAGGGUGCAAGCGUUAAUCGGAAUUACUGGGCGUAAAGGGCGUGUAGGUGGUUAGAUAAGUUGGCUGUGAAAGCCCCGGGCUCAACCUGGGAGGGUCAGCCAAAACUAUUUGACUAGAGUACGGUAGAGGGUAGUGGAAUUUCCGGUGUAGCGGUGAAAUGCGUAGAUAUCGGAAGGAACACCAGUGGCGAAGGCGACUACCUGGACUGGUACUGACACUGAGGCGCGAAAGCGUGGGGAGCGAACAGGAUCAGAUACCCUGGUAGUCCACGCCGUAAACGAUGAGAACUAGCCCGUUGGGGACGUAAGUCUUAGUGGCGCAGCUAACGCGAUAAGUUCUCCGCCUGGGGAGUACGGCCGCAAGGCUA